rnacentral:rRNA from 1 species
CCUACGGGUGGCAGCAGUAGGGAAUAUUGCUCAAUGGGGGAAACCCUGAAGCAGCAACGCCGCGUGGAGGAUGAAGGUUUUCGGAUUGUAAACUCCUUUUGUUAGAGACGAUAAUGACGGUAUCUAACGAAUAAGCACCGGCUAACACCGUGCCAGCAGCCGCGGUAAUACGGAGGGUGCACGCGUUCCUCGGAAUCACUGGGCGUAAAGAGCGCGUAGGCGGGAUAGCAAGACAGAUGUGAAAUCCUAGGGCUUAACCAUAGAACUGCAUUUGAAACUGGUAUUCUAGAGUAUGGGAGAGGUAGGUGGAAUUCUUGGUGUAGGGGUAAAAUCCGUAGAUAUCAAGAGGAAUACUCAUUGCGAAGGCGACCUGCUAGAACAUAACUGACGCUGAUGUGCGAAAGCGUGGGGAGCAAACAGGAUUAGAUACCCCUGUAGUC